ACACUGUUCUGCCAAUCAUAUUGUGCCUACUUCCUGUGUCUCUAUUCUGCCCCUGAAAACUGUUUUAAGAGCUCACUGAACUGAGCUGCGCGGGGUCGGCGGCGCCCCUCCUUCGGGUGCAGGACGAUCCCAACGCCUUGGAACGAUAAAUUCCUCUUGCUUUUUGCAUGGUUCACUCAGGGGGUCCCCGGUAAGCUAAGGCUCGGCAGAGUUUUACACUGGAAGGGCCACGAAGACUUCACCUCAGCCCCCAAGGAGUUCAAGAAGAUGCCCUAGGAACCCUCAGAAAACGUCACGCCGGGCGGUUUUCACUCAUCCCUCACUGUUGGGUCUCUAGAACAAACUCGGUCGCACACCACUUGCUUGACCAGAUCCAAGCAAAACUGAAGACUCCACCCUGGGGAUUUUAUCACUAGGAUCCAAAAGAGUUUUCAGGACUGUGAUGGCUGUUGUUCAUUGUCAACUUGACUAAAUCUGGAAUCAGCUACAACCCAGAAAUGGAGAACACACCUAUGAGAGAUUGUCUGCUUAAAGUAGAUAAAUCCACUUCUAGUCCAGACCUUUGAGGUAGGAAGACACACACCUUUAAUCCAUAUCUUGAUGUGGGAAGACACAGACCUUUAAUUUGAAUCUUGAGGUGGGAAGACACCAAAUCUUUAAUCUAAAUCUUGAGGUAUGUCCAGGAAAGACAUACCUUUAAUAUGAGCCAUACUUUCAGCUGGACAUCUAUAUAAGGACAUAGAAUAAGGAAGCUUUUGCUCUUUAUCUACUCGCCCUCACCUUGCUAGCACAUCCAUUCCUUCAUUGGCAUUAGAGCCUACUUCCGGAUUGCAGCAUAUACUGAAGACCAGCUGAGACAUGCAGCCUCGUGGGAUUGAGCAACAUUUUUAGACUUUCUGUUCAUAGCUAGCCAUUGUUGGACUAGCUGGACUGCAGGAAAAAGAGAGACUCGUUUCAUAAGUUCUGUGACUCUAGAGAACCUUGACUAAUAAAGAUUUUGGUACCAGAAGUGGUUCUAGAGAAACCAAAGUAUAAAGAUGGAUAUUUUAAGUAUCUGGAAUAGGCAUUUCAAUUCGCCAGCACCUUCAGCUACUGAAGCCUCUCCAGUCACCCCCUCUCCUGAGAGCUCAGAGAGUACUGAAAGUCCAUGGUGUGAACUGUAUUACAAACUUAAAGAGAUAAAUGAAUUUGAUUAUCCUGACUCACCAAUUGUGAACAACAAUGGAUUAGGUGACACUGUAUAUGAAACUUUUGACAGUUUGGGGGAAAAUAAGAGCAAUGAUGCUGCUGGUUGGUUCCUUUUAGCAUCUCUGGAUAAACUGUUAAAGGAUAGGAAUGAGCUCCGGGAUAAAAUUAACCAACUUCAGAAUAUGGUGAAGAACAGCAAAGAAGUUAGUGAUAAAAUUGACCAUCUCCAAAUGCUCAUAAACAAUCUAAAGGUUUCUAAAUGUGCCCUGGAAGAGAAUCUUCUCUCCAGCAGCCACGAAGCUCGAUUUAUGGAAAAUCAAACUGAAGCUCUCAUUGUAAGGUUAGCUGAAUCACAGGGAAAAUUCAA